rnacentral:lncRNA from 1 species
UCAAGGGGCGUCGUCAACGACGUAUGAUAUAAGUGUGGCAGAACAGGCCACUAGGCCGUAUUUACUUUGUGCCAACGUAUUAAAGAACAUGUAAAACAACAGGACUGAAACAGGACGACAGCGACUAGUCCUGCCGUUAUUGCUGUCGCUCAGUUUCAGCGCUGUUGUUUUCCAGUUGCUGUGCACUAACAGACCCAAGUAUGCAACAUU